rnacentral:tRNA from 1 species
UGGGGUGUGGCGCAGCUUGGUAGCGCGCUCCGUUCGGGACCAAGAGGUGCGGGCCCAAAUCCCGCCACCCCGA